rnacentral:rRNA from 1 species
GACGUAGGGCGCGAGCGUUGUCCGGAAUCAUUGGGCGUAAAGAGCGUGUAGGCGGCCACUUAAGUCCUGCGUGAAAUCUUGCGGCUCAACCGCAAGCGGUCGUGGGAAACUGGGUGGCUAGAGUGCGGGAGAGGAGAGUGGAAUUCCUGGUGUAGCGGUGGAAUGCGCAGAUAUCAGGAAGAACACCCGUGGCGAAGGCGGCUCUCUGGAACGCAACUGACGCUGAGACGCGAAAGCGUGGGGAGCAAACAGG